GAAUGAAACUCAAAGGAAUUGACGGGGGCCCGCACAAGCGGUGGAGCAUGUGGUUUAAUUCGAUGAUACGCGAGGAUCCUUACCAAGGCUUAAAUGUAGAUCGACCGGUUAGGAAACAGAUCUUUCGCAAGACAAUUUACAAGGUGCUGCAUGGUAGUCGUCAGCUUGUGCCGUGAGGUGUCAGCUUAAGUCAUAUAACGAGUGCAACCCCUGUCGUUAGUGGCCAGGGAGUCAAGUCGGGAACUCUAACAAGACUGCCAGUGCAAACUGUGAGGAAGGUGGGGAUGAUGUCAAAUCAUCAGGGCCAUUUCCCCUUCGGAUACACACGCGCUACAAUGGCCGGUACAGAGAGCAGCCACUGGGCGACCAGGAGAGAAUAUAUUAAUCCGGUCACAGUUCGGAUUGGAGUAUGCAACUUGACUCCGUGAAGUUGGAAUCGGUAGUAAUCGGAUAUUAUCCAUGAUCCGGUGAAUACGUUCCCGGGCCUCGUACACACCGCCCGUCAAGCCACGGAAGCUGGGGGGC
rnacentral:rRNA from 1 species